rnacentral:rRNA from 1 species
AGAGUUUGAUCAUGGCUCAGAACGAACGCUGGCGGCGUGGAUAAGACAUGCAAGUCGAACGGAAUUUUCCAGUGUAGCAAUACAUUGGAAGGUUCAGUGGCGAACGGGUGAGUAACAGGUGGGAAUCUACCUUGAAGUGGGGGAUAGCUCUCCGAAAGGAGAAUUAAUACCGCAUGUGGUUGAAAAACCAAAGUCGGGGACCGCAAGGCCUGACGCUUCUAGAUGAGCCCGCCUCCUAUCAGCUUGUUGGUAAGGUAACGGCUUACCAAGGCUAUGACGGGUAGCUGGUCUGAGAGGACGACCAGCCACACUGGGACUGAGACACGGCCCAGACACCUACGGGUGGCAGCAGUCGAGGAUUUUUCUCAAUGGGGGAAACCCUGAAGGAGCGACGCCGCGUGGAGGAUGAAGGGCUUCGGCUCGUAAACUCCUGUCACUAGGGAACAAAUGUUGCGUCCUAACACGACGCAGCUUGAUGGUACCUGGAGAGGAAGGCACGGCUAACUCUGUGCCAGCAGCCGCGGUAAUACAGAGGUGCCAAGCGUUGUUCGGAUUUACUGGGCGUAAAGGGUGCGUAGGCGGUUUGGUAAGUCAAAUGUGAAAUCCUACAGCUUAACUGUAGAAAUGCAUUCGAAACUGCCAGGCUAGAGUACUGGAGGGGAGAUCGGAAUUCUCGGUGUAGCAGUGAAAUGCGUAGAUAUCGAGAGGAACACCAGUGGCGAAGGCGGAUCUCUGGACAGUUACUGACGCUGAUGCACGAAAGCUAGGGGAGCAAACGGGAUUAGAUACCCCCGUAGUCC